UACGUAGGGGGCAAGCGUUGUCCGGAUUUAUUGGGCGUAAAGAGCGUGUAGGCGGCCAGGUAGGUCUGCUGUGAAAACUCGAGGCUCAACCUCGAGAUGUCGGCGGAAACCAUCUGGCUAGAGUCCGGAAGAGGAGAAUGGAAUUCCCGGUGUAGCGGUGAAAUGCGCAGAUAUCGGGAAGAACACCCGUGGCGAAGGCAGCUCGCUGGGACGUGACUGACGCUGAGACGCGAAAGCGUGGGGAGCAAACAGG
rnacentral:rRNA from 1 species